ensembl:lncRNA
CAGCAGGGGACUGGUUAAAAGGGGUUAUCUUAUACCAUUUUAGGAAGAUGAUCUAAGUUCCUUUUAUGAUUAUCAGAGGCACUUACAAGAAAUAACCUAAGUUUUGCUUUUGUUUAAGAAAGAAGGUAGAUUUGCUUACAUGGCGUCAGUGGUUUUGUCUGCUCAGGGGAUUUUCAAGCCUGGUCUCCAUUUUAUUUUAUUUUAUUUUAACAAGGAUUAAUACUCUGUUGGAGAGACAAGCUUGUAAACAGAGGCAAUGGCUGUGAAUGGUGCUGUACUGGGGGUGUGUACCAGGUCAUCAAUGAGCCAUGGUCACAUCUACUGAGAGCUGACUUACUUCUCAUGGAAAGAAGAUGAAAUGGCAACUGUGUGCAGAGCUGCAGGUCCCAUUGCAUGUAAGGACUCCAAGCAAACCUGGCCCCUCACUGAGACAAACUAAAGCAAAUAGCCCGGAUGACAACCAGCAGACAACCUAUGGCUGGUAUCAGUGAGAAAUCUCUAGAAACUAUAAAGUAGAUAGAACCAACGCUUGCGAAAGGGGCCACUCAAAAAGGAUGAAGACCCUGGCCUCCAUCCUUGCCUGUGACCCCUGGCUCAGAGGUCUGUGACAUCCCCACUGGGCAGCUGGCCUUCUAUUGUGUCCAAACAGCUUUUCGAGCAGCCCAAGAGCUGUAUUAUCCCUGCCACUCCCCUGUCACGACACCACAUUACUGUGUCUGCUCAGACCCAGCACCUCCCAGAAAACAAACGCAAAGGGAGCAGGGAAGUGCAGGCAGAGAGGGAUGCAGAGAGGUGGAGAGAGCACCCGGGAAAUGAGGUUUCGGGUGCCAGCAUUGGGUCUGGUGGGAGGAGCAGGGCUGCACCCAGUGAUGUAAGGAGACACGGGGAGCCGGCUUCCCACAGCCACCUGUCUUCCGGGGACCAAUGGGAAGCCUUAUUUGGCUGGCAACCAGGUCAAGCGUUGUUUUAUGUGGCUGAAAAAUAAAGCCUAGGUCAAUCUAAAAAUGUUCUACUUCAAGAUUUUGAAGAAGAAUUUAAAAACUUCUUUUGUACAAGGGAGAAGGCAAAUGCCACAUGGGUCAAGAUCAGAAAGUUUUUAGGAGUUGAACCAGCUGAGUGAACAACUCACUUCAACUAACUGAGUUGAAAUAAAGACAGUGAGAUAAAAAUAAAAUUUGACCAGAUUUUAAAACUCAGAUGAACUAUUGAGAAAGGAUUAUAGCAGCUAACAGUGCAAUAACAGAGUUCAAAUUCACACUGAAGGAUCCUGCUUGGUGACCUAGUAGUUGGCUAUGGUGUGUUCUGCUUUGGCAGUGUGGGUUGGGAUCCCAGGUAUGAACCUACAUCGCUUGUCAGCAGCCAUGCUGUGGCAGUGUCCCACAUACAAAAUAGAGGAAGUCUGGCAACAGAUGUUAGCUCAGGGUGAAUCUUCCUCAGCAAAAAAAAACCCAAAAAAUCCACAUUGAAGACUGGAACCAAUGCUGGCGGACAAAGAAUCAGUCAUGUGGAGGGUAGAUGUGAAAAGCUAACCCAGAAUUCAGAUCAAAUGGAAGAAGAAGAUGCACUAGAUGAGAGGGUAUUAAUACAUAUUGGAAUAGGGAGAGAAAAAUCAAUUUAUGAACCAACUUAUUGAUAUUCAUAAUGAAGAGAACGAAAUCAAAGGCAUUCCAGGUAAUUAUAAGACAAGCUUCCUGAAUGGAAAGGAGACUGAAUAUGCAUUGAAAGGACUCCCUAAGAGAGCAAGGAGAAAACAAAAUGCAAUGUGAUGGUGAAUUUUAGUACUCCUCCCAAUCUCCAGAAGAAAGAGAGAAACUAGCUAAUUGAAGACUUGAAUAAUACAAUUAAUAAGGAUUGUAAUGUAUACACACACAUAAAUAAUAGGAUUUUGUUCCCUCGAAGUGACUACACCUGUGGAAAUAUUUCAGCAGUCAAGAAACAUUAGACAUUUUUAGCAUCUGUUACUCAAGGAGGAAGAGCUCAAUAAAUUUACAAAAGUUUUGGGCGCAUACAGGAGCCAUUGCACUAUUUUCUGUCUCCCUGGAGAUGAUUCUACGAGCUGCUGCACGUUGAGGGGUUGCUUUGGUGAAGUUGCGCCUGGGGAGAUUCCCCUGAUCUGUGGGGCCGACAUGAACCCCAAGGAGGGAGGUAAGAGGGAAAGCAACGAUCAUACGGAUUUGAAGGUGGUGAGUGAGAGGGCCAGACGGUGGAAUUGGCUAUGAAGAGCCACGCGACAUGAAGCAAGCUAAUGAAAGCCUGAGGGAGCAUCAACUGAGUCAGAUCAAAUUCCAAAUUGAUCAGACCAGCCAAUCAAAGAAAUGACACACGUGGAAAUGGAGAAUGCUCGUAAGAUGAUGUUCAAUGCCAGAUAAAGAUAUCAAGUAAAAAAACAAAAAUAUCCCAAAGCACAGGCAAACAAAAGCCCCUUAUUUUUUCCAGAGCUGGGCAAGCAUGGACAAUAAUAUAUUCACUCUCGGGACACCAUGAGUUGGUGGCGCCAUAUGCUAACUAUAACAGUGGUUUGUUCCUGGUCUUCAGUUGCCCCCAACCCCUACCCUAUUCCUCUACUAUACACGAAAUAGCUGGAAUGUGUGCGCUCAGGUGUAAUGCUUUCUUUUUAUACCCUAAAUUGUCAACUCUAUGUUUCAAUCAACAUCAACGAUAAAUGAGGUGAGCAGAAAAAUUGGUUCUCAAAAAAUACACUCUUUUCUUUCAGGAGUGACAUGCUUACUCAAGUUUUUUUAUGUUUAUAUGUCAGUAAGCUAUUUUGAUCUCAGUGUUUAACAAUAAACAAACACAAACAAAAACCUUUCACACACUCUUUGACUGGAUUUUGCUUUUUAUCAUUUAUUAUAUAUUCCUGUCAAUUGUACGGCAUUCUGUCUUUCAAUAGGACUAAAUUAUUCUAACAAAACUGAUACUAGGUAAAUUCUCCUUCAAGUCAAAUGUCUUGUUAAAAAAUGUCUUUUGAAAACGUGUACAGGCCACACAACCUUUUAAAAGACAGACCGAGGAGAUCUUCCAGAUUGAAGGAGGCUAAUUUGACGAGAUGACCAAAUGCAGUCUGUGACCCUGGGUUGGAGCCUGAACCAGAAUUUUAUUUGCUUGUUUGUUUUCUAUAAAGAACAUUAGUGGAGCAUUUGGAAAAACUUGAAAAACUUCUGUAGAUUAGAUGUUAGUACUGUAUCAAGCUUAGAUCUUGAUUUUAAUCAUUGCACUGUGUUUAGAUAAGAGCACGCAUUUGUUUUUAAGAAAUGCACACUGAAGUAUUUAUGGAUAAAAUGGCAUCAUGUCUGUGGCAUUGUGUUUGCAACUGUGGCAUGCAGAAUUCUAGAGGCAAGGACAAAAAAGAAAGGAAUAUGUAUUCUCACAAUACUGUAAUAAUAAAUUAGGAAAUUUGGUCAGAAUAUCAAAUUGAACUCUCAAGAAUCGGAAAUUUUACCCAUUAUUAAGCUUUACUAUUGAUUCGAAAGGUACAGGUAAUCAUGAGAAAUCAAGGGGAAGACAAGACCACCAGUGCAAUUCCCAGCUUCUUGUUUGCCAAGAUUUAUCAUAUGGGGCUCCCAGUCGGAUAUGCAGGGCAUUGCUCUCACAAAGGGGCCAUUUCAACCAUGAAAUAUCUUUAUUUUAUAUCCUAAUAAUUAUGUACUUGUCAUUGAUGUUUUCCAGGGGCCCAUGUGCUAUAAAUCUACAGAUCUUAUGUUGGUACCCGUUAUUAUACACGAAACCUGGACAGACCGGGUACAACCUGCUGAAAGCAUUCUGUAGAUGAGGACUCUCAUCUUUCCACUAGUAAAUAUCACGAGGAAGUCUAAUUAGUAUGUUUCCAAGAUCUGAGCAAAUCCUUUCUUUCUUUUUUCUCUGUCUCCUCUUAGUCCUGUAUCACAGAGCCCGGUUAACUCUUUCCUUCCCAAGACCCACAACAUCCCCUAAUUUGUCUGGGAGUAUAUGGUUCUAUGUCUGUUUUCUCAGCAUCCUUCUGAUCAGCACCGCUUUUUAACCUUAAAAGUGUUCCACUUUGAAAAAUAAAUUAUUGAUCAUCCUAACUAUAAUCGAUCACGGAAGAAUUUUUUUUAAAAGGCACCAGGCUUAAGUAGUUUUAUGCAAAUAAUUUCAAAAUUUUAAAGAAAGUUAUUGUUAAUUAUAUACUAUUCCAAGGUGUAGCAGAUAUAAUGAAAAGCUUUCCAGUUGUUUGUUUUAUAUAGCAAGAAUAACCAUGAUACCACAGUAGGACGAAUGUUGCACAAAUAAAAGUUACUACAAAUCUAUCAAAGUUUAUUAGCUCUUGAAGUAUGGCUGGGUAUAGAGAGCGAUUGAUCAAAUAAAAAAAUCUGUCUGGUUCUGUCAUUUGCUUCUGAUCUCCUCUGUGUCGGCUUCAUCCUAGGGCGGACAUCCGUCAUGUAUAUAUCACUUACCUAAUGCAUAUUAUAAGAGAACACAUUUAUUCUGAAAAUCGUCCAUUUCAAUAUUGUCUUUGAUGUUAAUAACAAAACUUUGGUUUGAACCUUCCUGAGUUUGCUAAUUGUAAUGGGUGAUACAUGCGAUGAGUGGUAAAGGCAGAAGGAAAAGUUGACAGCCAUUCUGAAAUCUUGAUCAAAUGGAGUUCCAUUAGGAGCAAUUCUCAUUAAAGCAAGAGAGAUGGGUGAAUUACUUGGAGCUUUAGGAAAGAACAGUUUUCCUGAAUAAAGAC